GGCCCACCAAGGCGACGAUCAGUAGCCGGACUGAGAGGUUGGCCGGCCACAUUGGGACUGAGACACGGCCCAGACUCCUACGGGAGGCAGCAGUAGGGAAUCUUCCGCAAUGGACGAAAGUCUGACGGAGCAACGCCGCGUGAAGGAAGAAGGCUUUCGGGUUGUAAACUUCUUUUGUCGGGGACGAAACAAAUGACGGUACCCGACGAAUAAGCCACGGCUAACUAC
rnacentral:rRNA from 1 species